CCUGGAGCGACUGCUGCUGCACCAUGGCGCGGCACCCCGCGGCGCCGCCGCGGUGGCGGCGGUGGCGGAAUCCGGCGCUCCGGCGGGUGUUGGGAGGUGGGGAGCGGUGCAGGGAGGGGAGACCCGAGGGACGGGUGAGGAGGGAGCCGAGGACUGCGGCAGCCAUGAAUCACUUCUCCUCGCUUUCAAGGAUGCAGGCGGAUUUGAGGCUUUGGCCGGUGGCCAGACGACGGAGAUGCAGAGGAUCGAUGUUAAUGAGAGAAUUGUGGCGCUCGAGCGGCUCAAUCCCACUCCCCGUCCCACUACAUCUCCGUAUCUGGACGGGCGGUGGAAUUUUGAGUGGUUUGGAGCUGGCAGUCCGGGGUUGUUCACGGCGAAGUUACUGUUCGAGAGAUCUCCUUCCUCCGUGGCAAAUUUGUUGGGAAUGAGCAUCUUGAUCAAGGAUGGGUAUGGGAAAAUUACGGCAACUUUGAAGUUUCUAAACUCGAUAGAAACCAAGUUUCAUCUAACCACCAAAUUGUCUGUAGAAGGCCCAACUCGAUUCAAAGAAGAGUAUGAUGAAGGGUUUUUUGAAACACCGAUAGUUAGUGAAGAAGCUAUACCUGAGCAAAUAAAGGGUGUACUCGGACAAGCUACUGGUACGCUGGAACAACUUCCGGCUCCAGUAAGGGAUGCCUUUUCCAAUGGACUGAAAGUCCCACUUAGUGGGACUUUCCAGAGGCUGAUCAUGGUUUCAUAUUUAGAUGAAGAAAUUUUGAUCGUAAGGGAUUCUGCUGGAGCACCGGAUGUGCUAACAAGGUUGGAAGGUCCCCCGGAAACCUUGACUUCUGAUCCCAUCAUCGGGGAGUACGAAAGCUAAAUACUCCAAGCUCUACUUUAACUCGAAUGCAGCGACGCCACUUGAAAUAGUAAACUAUACUGUUCCUCUGUUCUCCAGAGUUCAAUAUCUAGGGAUCUCAUCGCUUGUGUUUAGAUAUAUUCUCAUUUUCUUUGUAAAAACUUAUAUUACAAUUUUCAAUCACACAAAUUUGUGGGGACUUCUGUUGAGAAAGCAGUUUUGG
rnacentral:misc_RNA from 1 species